rnacentral:rRNA from 1 species
UACGGAGGGUGCAAGCGUUAUCCGGAUUCACUGGGUUUAAAGGGUGCGUAGGUGGGCUGGUAAGUCAGUGGUGAAAUCUCCGGGCUUAACUCGGAAACUGCCGUUGAUACUAUCAGUCUUGAAUGUUGUGGAGGUAAGCGGAAUAUGUCAUGUAGCGGUGAAAUGCCUUAGAUAUGAACAUAGAACACCGAUAGCGAAGGCAGCUUGCUACACAAUAAUUGACAC